AUUGAACGCUGGCGGCAUGCUUUACACAUGCAAGUCGAACGGUAACAGGCUGCGAGGUUCUUCCGAGUGGCGGACGGGUGCGUAAUGCAUCGGAACGUGCCCAGACCUGGUGGUUAGCUACGCGUAAGAGUGGCUAAUACCCGAUACUACCUAUGACGGACAGCGGGUGACCGCAAGGCCUCUUGCGAUUUGAGCGGCCUGUGUGAGAUGAGGUAGUUGUUGGGUAAAGGCGCACCAAGCCAACGAUCUGUAGCUGGUCUGAGAGGAGGACCAGCCACACUGGAACUGAGACACGGUCCAGACUCCUACGGGAGGCAGCAGUGGGGAAUUUUGGACAAUGGGCGCAAGCCUGAUCCAGCAAUGCCGCGUGGAGGAAGAAGGCCUUCGGGUUGUAAACUGCUUUUGUAGGGAAAGAAAAGCAGCUGGUUAAUACCCCGCGGUACUGACGGUACCGAAAGAAUAAGCACCGGCUAACUACGUG
rnacentral:rRNA from 1 species